rnacentral:rRNA from 1 species
UCGAGAAUCUUUCGCAAUGGGGGAAACCCUGACGACGCGACGCCGCGUGGAGGAUGAAGGCCUUCGGGUUGUAAACUCCUGUCAGCAGGGGAGAACAAGCUUUUAGUGAAUAACUGAGAGCUUUGACAGUACCUGCAGAGGAAGCCACGGCUAACUCUGUGCCAGCAGCCGCGGUAAUACAGAGGUGGCAAGCGUUGUUCGGAUUUAUUGGGCGUAAAGGGUCCGUAGGCGGCCUAGAAAGUCGGGUGUGAAAUCCCACAGCUUAACUGUGGAACUGCAUUCGAAACUUCUAGGCUCGAGUGUGAUAGGGGUAAAGGGAAUUCCCGGUGUAAGGGUGAAAUCUGCAGAGAUCGGGAGGAACACCAGUCGCGAAGGCGCUUUACUGGAUCACUACUGACGC